AUGCCGGUGGCGGCGUCGGCCAUCUACUUCCUCAACCUCCGCGGGGACGUCCUCAUCAACCGCCUAUACCGCGACGAUGUCGGGGGAAAUAUGGUUGAUGCAUUCAGGAUGCACAUUAUGCAAACAAAAGAGCUUGGUACAUGCCCUGUUCGACAAAUAGGAGGCUGUUCCUUCCUUUACAUGAGGAUCAGUAAUGUUUACAUUGUGAUCGUGGUUAGCAGCAAUGCUAAUGUUUCUUGUGCUUUCAAGUUUGUUGUGGAGGCAGUGGCCCUCUUCAAGUCCUACUUUGGUGGAACUUUUGAUGAAGAUGCUAUCAGGAAUAACUUUGUGUUAAUAUAUGAACUUCUUGAUGAGAUUAUGGACUUCGGUUAUCCUCAGAAUCUCUCCCCUGAAAUUUUGAAGUUAUAUAUAACCCAGGAAGGCGUACGGUCGCCAUUUUCCUCCAAGCCUUCGGAUAAGCCUGUUCCAAAUGCGACCCUGCAAGUUACCGGCGCUGUUGGUUGGAGAAGAGAGGGUCUGGUGUACAAGAAGAAUGAGGUUUUCUUGGACAUUGUUGAGAGCGUAAACCUUCUUAUGUCUUCCAAAGGGAGUGUUCUACGAUGUGAUGUGACAGGGAAGAUUCUUAUGAAGUGCUUCCUCUCUGGAAUGCCUGAUCUGAAGUUGGGACUAAAUGACAAAAUUGGACUUGAAAAGGAAGCCCAACUGAAGUCCAGGCCUUCAAAGAGUGGGAAGACCAUAGAACUCGAUGAUGUCACGUUCCACCAGUGCGUCAACCUAACAAGAUUUAACUCAGAAAAAACAGUCAGCUUUGUGCCACCAGAUGGUGAAUUCGAAUUGAUGAAAUAUCGAAUCACGGAGGGUGUAAAUCUUCCAUUCCGGGUUCUGCCCACAAUUAAGGAGUUGGGCCGAACACGCAUGGAGAUUAAUGUGAAAGUUAAGAGUGUUUUUGGUGCUAAGAUGUUUGCACUUGGUGUUGUGGUUAAAGUUCCGGUUCCAAAGCAGACAGCAAAGACGAGUUUCCAAACAACAUCUGGCAAAGCCAAAUAUAAUGCUUCGAUUGAUUCCCUGGUGUGGAAGAUCAGGAAAUUUCCUGGACAGACCGAGGCAACGAUGAGUGCAGAAGUUGAACUGAUCUCUACAAUGGGGGAAAAGAAGUUAGCGAACAGGCCACCGAUUCAGAUGGAGUUCCAGGUUCCGAUGUUCACUGCUUCUGGCUUACGUGUUCGGUUCCUCAAGGUGUGGGAGAAGAGUGGCUACAACACCGUUGAGUGGGUUCGCUACAUCACAAGGGCUGGAUCAUAUGAAAUCAGGUGUUAG
rnacentral:rRNA from 1 species